UAACCAGAAAAAGAAUGUUUUAUCUGUCGUGAAGCAGAGAAGAAAGGCCAAGAAGAAUUGCACAACUACUGUGAUUGCAGAGAUUUAGUGGGACAUCACCAGUGUUUGCUGACAUGGAUACAGAAAGGUUCUGGUAAUGAAGAUCGACAACGAUGCAGUGCAUGUACAGCUAAAUACCAUCUACAAGAGGGAACAAUAUGGAAAAUGUUGUUGUGUCAGUGGAGAAGUUUACUAGCCUUCAUUGCAACAAUGGCAUCCAUCAUCGCUAUUCCUUUUUCUAUACACUGCUUGAACACACUGACAAAUCCACCACCUAACCAACUGUUUAAAGUUGUGGCAGUAUGUUCUGGAGUUAUUGCUGA